rnacentral:rRNA from 1 species
UACGAAGGGGGCUAGCGUUGCUCGGAAUCACUGGGCGUAAAGGGCGCGUAGGCGGCCAUUCAAGUCGGGGGUGAAAGCCUGUGGCUCAACCACAGAAUUGCCUUCGAUACUGUUUGGCUUGAGUUUGGUAGAGGUUGGUGGAACUGCGAGUUGUAGAGGUGAAAUUCGUAGAUAUUCGCAAGAACACCAGUGGCGAAGGCGGCCAACUGGACCAAUACUGACGCUGAGGCGGCGAAAGCGUGGGGAGCAAACAGG